rnacentral:rRNA from 1 species
UACAGAGGUCCCAAGCGUUGUUCGGAUUCACUGGGCGUAAAGGGUGCGUAGGCGGUCGGGUAAGUCUGAUGUGAAAUCUCACAGCUUAACUGUGAAACUGCAUUGGAUACUAUUCGGCUAGAGAGUUGGAGGGGGGACUGGAAUUCUUGGUGUAGCAGUGAAAUGCGUAGAUAUCAAAGAGGAACACCAGUGGCGAAGGCGAGUCCCUGGACAACUUCUGACGCUGAGGCACGAAAGCUAGGGGAGCAAACAGG